rnacentral:lncRNA from 1 species
UUUUUUUUUUUUUGGAUUUUCGAAUAUGGAUAACUAAAUUGCAGCAGCAGUAAGGUAGGAAACCAGAACCUGUUGCAAUUCACAGGGAGAUCAAAGGAUGAUCUGCGGUGGUGGAGAUGACGGUGGAAUUUGGCAACGAUCUUUUAAGCAAUUGUGGGAAUUGCUUUGGGCGGUUGUGGAGGGUUGAUGGAUGGCAGUGGAAGGGCAGCGAGAUGCCAAGAACGCUGCUCUGAUACCAGGUGAUAGAACCCUUGCAGAUUCUAAACUUGGGGUUGAUCUCUUUAGAGGAUCGGCCUCCUUGGAACUCUAUAGGGGUUCCUCCCUCCAAGUUGCUGCUCAAAGGCUACAGAAAAGAUUCAUCUAUUGCUUGAGAAAAGAGGAAAAAUACAUGGCUAUUUAUAGGGCUUCUAAACCCUAACUCCUAAUAGGACUCCUACUCAAGACUCCUACUUUUAACCAACUCCUAAUAUGACUCACACUCAAGACUCCUAUUCCCUUACAACUCCUAAUUCAUCUCUAAAAACCUCUUAACAGAAUGUCUCUCUCAAUUAGGACUCUCCUAGUUAGAGCCCUAACAGAGUGUCCCUCUCAAUACCUCCUAACAGAAUGUCUCUCUCAAUUAGGACUCUCCUAGUUAGAGUCCUAACAGAGUGUCCCUCUCAAUUAGGACUCUCCUAGCUAGAGUCCUAACAGAAUGUCCCUCUCAAUUAGGACUCUCCUAGCUAAAGUCCUAACAGCAUGCAAGGGCUUUUUGGUACAACUUGAGCAGCAAAUUAAAGGAGAGCCAAUGGAAUUUGAAGAUCCAAACCUAUUUCCUUUGCUUGCUGAAUUUUCAGAUAUAUUUGACGAGCCGCACAACCUACCUCUUACUCGUUGGCAUGAUCAUUGUAUAAUGAUUUGUCCAGUCAAAUCUUCAGCAAUUACUCAGCCAUAUCGGUAUCCACAUCUCCAGAAGGAUGAAAUAGAAAGGAUUUUAAAAGAGAUGCUUGAAACAGGAAUUAUUCGGCCAAGUUGUAACCUCUACUUUUCACCGGUGCUACUUAUAUACGCAAGAAGGACGAAACAUGGCGAAUAUGCGUUGAUUACCGAGCUCUCAAUGGCAAUACCAUCAAGAACAAAUACCUUAUUCCAAUAGCAAAUAAAUUGCUAGAUGAAAGGGAGCACAAAUCUUCAUAAAGCUAUACCUUUGAUCCGGGUAUUAUCAAAUACGAGUGUAUGAAGAAGUCAUACCAAAAAUCGCCUUUCGAACACACAACGGCCACUACAAAUUUUUACUUUCUUCAACAAAAGGUGAAAUAUCUUAGGCAUAUCAUAUCAGAGGAAGGUGUGAUAGUGGACCCCUUCAAAAUUGAAGCAAUGCAAAACUGGCCUACCUCGAGGAACAUAAAAUUGCUACAUGGCUUUUUGGGUUUAAUAGGCUACUACCGUAAGUUCAUGAAAAACUAUGGAAAGAUCAGUGCACCACUUACUUCUUUACUGGAAAAAGAUGUCUUCCAAUGGUCGGACAGAGCCUCCACUGCCUUCGACAAACUUAAGGCAGCCAUAACGACGACGCUGGUGCUAGCGCUACCAUAUUUCAACCGACCAUUCAUCAUUAAGGCCGAUGCAUCUGGAGUAGAAUGGGAGACGUUCUCAUGUAAGAUGGUCGACCACUCACAUACAUUAGCAAGACAUUGUCUCCCCCCUAUCAAAACAUGUUAACAUAUGAUAAGGAGAUGCUCGCCAUUAUGCACGCAGCAACGAGGUGGAGAUUGUACUUGAUCAGGUGAUACUUUCAAAUCAAGACCGAUCAUAAAAGCCUAAAAUAUCUCUUGGAGCAGAAGAUAUCUUCCCCCGAGCAGCAAAAAUGGGUAACAAAACUUCUUGGAUUUGAUUAUGAAAUAACUUACAAAAGGUGUAAGUUAUAAGUUACUUGGAUUUGUCUAUGACUUGUAUAGAUAAAGCUAUUUGUAGAAACUUUACACAUAAUCAAUUUACUUUUACUUACCAAAAAAAAACUUACAAAAGGUGGAAAGAGAAUUUUGUUGCAGAUGCGCUUUCGCAGCUACUUGAGCAGGCUGAAUUUUCGGUCAUUUUACUUAAAACCAGCUACUUCCUUGAGGAUAUUAAGAUGGAAUGGCAGGAAGAUUCGGAGACCAGUAAGAUAAAAAAAAAAUUAGAGGAAUCACCAAGCUCCGUGGCUCAUUACAAUCGGGACUCAAAAGAAUUAUGCUAUAAGGGACGCAUUGUGCUUGUGACAAAUUCUACUUGCAUCUUCAAGAGCAGAUUUUGGACAAGGUUAUUCCAAAUGCAGGGUACUAAAUUGAAAUGGAGUACGAUAUAUCACCCACAAACCAACAGCCAGACGAAAGUUUUAAAUAGGUGCUUGGAGACAGCCCAAAGCCACCCACCAAAUAUGACUACCCAAAGAGAACUCCAGACCCAGCCAAGUGCCAUUAUUGAUCGACGGAUCGUGACUCGACGACGAUGACCAACUAAUGAAGUGCUAAUACAAUGGCCGAACAUACCAAUAGAAGAUGCCACUUGGGAGAACUAUGACGACUUGAAGAUCAAAUUCCCAGAAUUCACGAAUCAUCAGCCUCGUGGACAAGGCUGAUUUGAAGAGGGCGGGUCUGUUAGGACUCUAGCUUGGAGAGUCCUAAUUGAGAGGGACAUUCUGUUAGGACUCUAGCUAGGAGAGUCCUAAUUGAGAGGGGCAUUCAUGUAGGAGGUGUUUUCUUAGGGAAGAAUUAGGAGUUGUAAGGGAAUAAGAGUCUUGACUAGGAGUCCUAUUAGGAGUUGGUUAGAAGUAAGAGUCUUAAAUAGGAGUCCUAUUAGGAGUUAGGGUUUAGAAGCCCUAUAAAUAGCCAUGUAUUCCUUCUCUUUUGAUAAAAGCAAUAGAUGAAUCUUUUCUGCAGCCUUUUAGCAGCAACUUGGAGGGAGGAACCACUAUAGAGUUCCAAGGAGGCCGAUCCCCUAAAGAGAUGAACCCCAAGUUUAGAAUCUG